AAACCAACAGGGAUUGCCUUAGUAGCGGCGAGUGAAGCGGCAAAAGCUCAAAUUUGAAAUCUGGUACCUUCGGUGCCCGAGUUGUAAUUUGAAGAGUACAAUCUUGGAAUUGGUCCUUGUCUAUGUUCCUUGGAACAGGACGUCACAGAGGGUGAGAAUCCCGUGCGAUGAGGCUACCUUUUCUUUAUAAGAUGUGCUCGACGAGUCGAGUUGUUUGGGAAUGCAGCUCUAAGUGGGUGGUAAAUUCCAUCUAAAGCUAAAUAUUGGCGAGAGACCGAUAGCGAACAAGUACAGUGAUGGAAAGAUGAAAAGAACUUUGAAAAGAGAGUGAAAAAGUACGUGAAAUUGUUGAAAGGGAAGGGUAUUAGAUCAGACUUGGUAUUUAGUUAUCUUUUCUCCUUGUGGGAGGAGCUCUAACUUUUUACUGGGCCAGCAUCAGUUCUGGUGGUAAGAUAAUUGCAGUUGAAUGUGGCUCUUCGGAGUGUUAUAGCUUCUGUUGAUGUUGCCUAUCGGGACUGAGGUCUGCGGCUUUGCCUAGGAUGCUGGCGUAAUGAUCCAAUACCGC
rnacentral:rRNA from 2 species